AACAACAUACGCACAAAGCAACAAAACAGCAGCAGCUACACAACAGCAACACGACAAAAACCAACGAAACAACGACAAUAAUAUCCACGACGCCGAUCAGCGUUCGGACCACCGGAUAUUAGGAAAUCUGGUGGUUUUUCCACCUCUCCUCCUCUCCCCCUACUCUAUUUCCGUCUCCAUCAACAUCAAUUGUCUUUCCAUCAAUUUUUGUUCAAGAAAACCAAAGCCCAAUGCUCUACAAUUUCAAGAAAAAUGGGGAAAAUCUCAAGACCCAUUGGAUUCAAGGUGUUACACCUUCGAUUCGACGGCUAUCAAAGUUUAAAUUGGUGGAUCCGAGCCUCUCUACCUCGAAUCCAUCACUUUUCUUCAAAUUGACCGAAAGAGGUGACCCCUUUCUCUCCUUUAUUUCUUUUUAUCCAUUAGUCCUGAUGACUUCUCGAAGAAUUUGCCUUCUCAAUGAAUUCAAAAUCCAAAUUUAUUUUUUGGGAACUGUUGGAAGCUUCAAGGAGCCAUUGCAAUCCAAUACUGCCUAUAAAAGGGGUUUUUUCCACCCUCUUGUAGGAGAGGGAAAAAAAAGAAAAAAAUGAGGAAGAAAAAAGGGUAAUAGAGAAAUUAGAAUUUUUUUUGUGUGUUUUUGUCAUACUCGCCGAUUCACCAAGUUUCUAUUUCCUUUUCUUUAUUUUUCUGAUUAUUGUUACUAGUUCCUGCAUCGGAAAAGGUGAAUCCUCCUCCUUCAAAAUUCUUAUUUAUGAAGCUUUGGUCAUCUAAGCAAUUUAUGUUUGAUGAAUUUUUAAACGUAUCUAUACCAUAAAUUUUGUGUUUGCGACAAAAUUGGCAUAGCUUCUUAAUUGUUUAGCAUGAAAUUUGACUCCUUUAAAUGCCUGACUUGGUAAGAAACAUGUGCUUGUUAUUGCCUAUUUUCUAUCUUGACGCAAUAGUUUUAAUACUAGGAAUUUGCAUGUUUUCAUUUGUCUUUUGGUUGCAAACUUUGAUGACCAUCACUUUUAGUCAAGGUCUGUAUAUAUAUAUUUGAGCUGACGUGGUUAUCACCUUAAUAGCGUGGGUUUAGACGUAUCCAUGGAAAAAUGGUUGAUCGUAUCCAUGGAAAAAUGGUUUAUCUUUUUUCUUUCUUCGAGCAUAGUGUAUAAAUUAGUUGAAGUUCUCUACUCCAUUUUUGUACAAAAAUGGGUAUGUUUUCUCUUCUCUAUGUGGCUACUAUUGCCUAAAAUAUAAUAAAGAGAUUUAUUACUUUAUUGUUUAAGCUUUCAGUUAUUACAAUACUCAUUUAAUCAUUUUGAUAGUUAAGUAAAUAAUAUGCCAAGAGACUGGUUGAGGUCCAUGUUGCUAUCUCUUUGUGCAAAGGACAAUAUGUGCAUUUGUUCCCAAUUUAUUUAACGUACAUAGAGCCCUUGGUUACCUUUAAAAAAGUUGAAAAAACAUAAAAUGACGAAAAAUAUCCUUUUUAAGGGAUAAAUCCUUGUUCAAACUGCUUUGUGUUCAUUUGAUCAUAUAUUGACUUUUGGUCUAUGAACUUCUUGGGUAAUCCCUUUCAUAUUUGGGUGUGUGACUUGAUCUCUAGUUGGUAACUACAGAGCAUUUUCGUUUAUGUGUCAAAACUAUGUUUUGUGUGAACUUAUACUACUAUUUAUCUCUUCUUUUCUAUGCAUGAAAUCCCUCCUUGAGUCCAUCGGACUCCCAUAUCUUGCAUUCGAUUGAGUUAAACUCAACGUCCAUCGAGUCAAGACCCAUGUCAAGUCCGAAAAGGGACUAAUAUGCAAGAAAAAUAGGCUGGUAUACAAUCAUAUACUCUGAUAUAUGGUGAAUAUCCGUCUUAAGCAGCAGGUGCAUGCUAUCCCGCGGUUUAUGAUGAAAAAGUGGAGCAAAAUACGUAGGCAUCCACACUGAUAUACACUGUAUACACAGGGGUAUACAGAAAAAUACAGGAAAGAAGCUGCUGAUAUACCACAGAUAUACAGGGGAAAAAAAUAGGCUAAAGUCCAUGGAAUUGGUCCAAAAUUGGACAGAUUUUUAAUGUGUCAAAAGGGGCCCAAUUUUCACUCUUCUCUAUUUAAUUAUCCAUUCUAACUUAUUUAUUUGUAAUAGUUUAGGAUACGUGCAUUGCACGUGACACAAAUUUAUAAAAUAAACUUUAUUGAAAAAUCAACCAUCUAAUAAUUUGAUCUGAUUGGAGUUAUUUAAUUAUAUGGUAUUAUUGACUUAUUUUUUGUUUGAUACCAUCACACAUUGUUAUCAAAUUAUGUGUGGGACUUCUAACCAAUAAGGAUACUUUAUGCCAUUGAGUCAAUUUGUUAUGGUCAUUUUACUUGGGGCUUUGGGCUGUCGGUGACAAAAGAGUUUUAAAAUGAUGUGUAAGUGACUAAUGUCUUAAUAAUUAAGUGGAGGUGACAAUUACUUUAUUAUGGAUUAAGAAAGUUGGGUAUGUUUGAGAAUAACCCAGAAGUUUUUAAAUUUACACUUUGAUUCAAAUGUUUACCUAGUAUAACGAGAAACGGAGGGAAAAAGGCGUCUUUCUCUCUGUUCUCAUUCAUUGUUGUUUUCUCUCUCUUAGCGAUUUUUGUUGUUUAUUGUUGUUGUUGCUUUAUUCAUCAUCUUUUGCUUCAUUAUCAUCUUCUACUUUAUUAUGAUCUCUAUUUUUUUCUUGUUGAUCAUUGUUGUUGUUGCUUUACUGCUAUUGUUGCCAUUUGACCAAUUUCUUAGGUCAAAUUUUGUUUCCUACAUCACUUUCCACUUUGGUAUUACUUCAUAGGAGACUUUAGUAAGUCAAAGUAUGAUUUUUAGUUGAAUUUGUCAUUUGGGUAAAUGCUAUUGUGUUGUUUCUUCAACGAUAGAUAGCACGCAAACAUGAAUGCAACAUAAUAGCCAUCUGUUUAAAUAGAUCUGUUUCAACAGAAGACUCAUAUGUUGGAUUCAUAUUUAUGGUUCCAUAGUUUCGUUACAUAAAUCAAACAGAUGAGUCGUCUGUUACAAUAGAUGACCCAUUUGUUGCAAUAAAUUAGUUAUCUGGUGCAACAUGAUAAAUAUUUGUUGCAACAAAUUAAUAACCUCUUGCAAUAGAACCUGAACUUGAUUCCAACAGACGUGUUGUCUGUUGCAACAGGGUAAAUAUCUGUUGCAACAAAUUAUUAACCCGUUGCAACAGAACCUGAACUCAAUUCCAACAGACAAUAAAUAUGUGUUGCAAUAUAUUAGUAACCUGUUGCGAUAGAACCUGACCUCGAUUCCAAUAAAUCGUCGUCUGUUGCAACAGGUAAAUCAUCUGUCGCAAUAGGUUGAUUAUCUGAUGCAACAUGUCACUUAUUUGUUGGAAUCUGCUUCAAAGGUGCCUCAAUACUGUAACAUCUGUCCAACAAGCACUUUAUCUGUUGCAACAGAUAUAUAGUCUGUUGCAACACAUGAUUCACUUGUUACAACAGAUGACUCGUCUGUUGAAAUCAACUUUAGGAGCGUAACAUGAAUCCCAAUAGGUACUAAUCUGUUGCUAUUGAUUACACAUCUGUUGGGAUUCAUUUAUGGCACUAUGAAAUCACUAUUAACUUUUUUUAAAAAAUGACUUUAUUUAG
rnacentral:lncRNA from 1 species